GGCCCCUCCGGGGCUGGGCUGGGCUGGGCUGGGCAGAGCCGUUCAAGCCGGAUGCUGUCCAUUCU
rnacentral:miRNA from 1 species